UACGUAGGGUGCAAGCGUUGUCCGGAAUUAUUGGGCGUAAAGAGCUCGUAGGCGGUUUGUCGCGUCUGCUGUGAAAACCCGAGGCUCAACCUCGGGCCUGCAGUGGGUACGGGCAGACUAGAGUGCGGUAGGGGAGACUGGAAUUCCUGGUGUAGCGGUGAAAUGCGCAGAUAUCAGGAGGAACACCGGUGGCGAAGGCGGGGUCUCUGGACCGAUACUGACACUG
rnacentral:rRNA from 1 species